GUAUUGCUGAUGAAUUUAUGGAAGAAUCAAAGCUUAUAACUGACACUGGUGUUAAUUUAUUACAAUUAAGGGCCACAAACAUAUUAUCUACAUAUGCCCUCCAGCUGAUGGAUAAUAUAUUCACAGAUGAGGAAAUGUCUAGUUCUGUAUAUGAAGCAUCAAAAAGAUCAACCAAACCAGCCUCAAUAUUACAAAAUUUCAGUACUUUGAAGAAUGUGAAAAAAAAUUGGCGAACAAGAGUUUAUGAAAGAAU